UUGAGUUCACGUACAUUAUGAUUUGAGUUCACGUUCAUAAUGAUUUGAGUUCGCAUUAGUAAUGAUUUGAGUUCGCAUUAGUAAUGAUUUGAGUUCACGUUGAUUUGAGUUCACGUUCAUAAUGAUUUGAGUUCACAUUAGUAAUGAUUUGAGUUCACGUUCAUGAUGAUUUGAGUUCACGUUCAUGAUUUGAGUUCACAUUCAUAAUGAUUUGAGUUCGCAUUAGUAAUGAUUUGAGUUCGCAUUAGUAAUGAUUUGAGUUCACGUUCAUUAUGAUUUAAAUUCAUGUUCAUAAUGAUUUGAGUUCACGUUCAUAAUGAUUUGAGUUUGCAUUAGUAAUGAUUUGAGUUCACGUUCAUUAUGAUUUGAGUUCGCAUUAGUAAUGAUUUGAGUUCACGUUCAUUAUGAUUUGAGUUCACAUUCAUAAUGAUUUGAGUUCAUGUUCAUAAUGAUUUGAGUUCACAUUGGUAAUGAUUUGAGUUCACGUUCAUUAUGAUUUCAGUUCAUGUUCAGUAUGAUUUGGGUUCACGUUCUUAAUUAUUUGAGUUCACGUUCUUUAUGAUUUGAGUUCACGAUCAUGAUGAUUUGAGUUCACUUUUACAAUGAUUUGAGUUCACAUUUCAUUAUUUGAGUUCACAAUUAUUUUCUCUGCACUUUAAUGAUUUUACAUUUAAUUUUGUAAAUGAUUGAGUUCAUGUUUUUCAUGAUGAUUUAGAUUUCAAAUUCACAAUGAUUGAAGUUUGUUCACAGUGAUUUGAGUUCACAUCUGCUUUGGUGUUUGACAUUUGAACAAUUUUGAAUUAACAUUCAAGAUGAUUUUGAGUGUACACUCUUAGAAAAAAAGGUUCUUUGGGGUUCUAUAUAGAACCCUAGGGUUCUUUAACCAACUUUAUAGAACCCUUUCUGCCAAAAAGGUUCUAUAUAAGGAGAAAGAACCAAAGGGUUCUUUGGGCUAAAUGUGCUUUAUAUACAUUAUUAGUGCUUUAUUUAAAUUAUUACACUAUUGAACAUUAUAUUUGUGUUUUUACUUCAAUUUUACUUAGGCACACCUUUCAUUCUGAAGAAAACAAACUUAUAUACAUUUUCAAGUUUAAUAAGUUUAUUAGAAAAUAAUAAUUGCCGCAUUAUCCUGUAAUGAAAAAAAAUCUAAUUGUUUCUGGAUCUAGGCGCUAGGGGCAGAAUUCUGCCAUCUGCUGGUUAAAGAAAAUCCUGUAGGAAUGACUUAGAUUCUGAAAGUCAAUUCUUAUAACUCAACCCUCCAAACAGAUGCAUUAAAUGAUCUUCGACAUAAACAGCAAAUAACUUGCAUGUGUAUGCGCUGAUCAGUUCUGAACUGUCUGCACGCGCAGUGUCGGAUUUCAGCCGCGCGAGUCGUGCGCGAGUAAUUAGAAUGCGCGUGAACGCAGCAUUUUAAACUUCAACCGUUACGGACGUCCGUUUGAGCUCAGCGCUCGAGAGGACGACGAUUAAAUUGAAUCAAAAAGAAGAAAUGUGGUAACGUUAUACGGUGCUGUCCGGGCCUGCGCUAUUCUCCGCCAGGAGGUUUGUCAUUUCUUACAUGAAUUCCUAAAAUCUCUGUUAAAAACGGUUGUGGACUGUUCAGUAAAGGUGGCGAGAGUUCAUGUUAUAUCCUAAUACCUAAUACUGUAGAUUGUAUUAGAAAACACAUAAGAAAGCGAUGUUUCAGGAGCAGUCAAAUCACGUGAUCACUGUACACCAGACUGUUAUAAACAUGAAUUCAAGAGAAACCCCGAAAAACAAAGAGAGGAGCUGAUGAAGAUGUUUCUUCUGUGGAUAUAGCUAAAUGGACUCUGGAGUGCAGCAUUACUUCAAUAAGAUGAAAAUAACACACCUGUAUGAUUCAAGAUGUCAAGCCCCCUGAACGCAAAGAGAGUCUGCAUCAAAAUGGACGUGCCCCUAAUUGAAAACACAGAGAUGUCAAAAGUAUCUGUUGGCUGUCUACUUUUUGUUCAAUAUGGAGCAUCCAAAUGCCAGUUUCUUUCAUUCAGCACUAUUUAGCCCUUCUCAGUAUGAAU